rnacentral:rRNA from 1 species
AUGGGUUCUUCAGGAAGCACCGGCCAAGACAUGUGCAAGCAAAUUGCAGAUGAUAAUGAUGCAGUCAAAAACUUGGAGGCCGUUCUAGACAUGGAUAUGAAGAGCAAUGAUGGUAUCAUAGAGUUACAGAUGAGAGCUAUAGAGGUUCUGACACAAUUAGUCUUGCAUCAUCCAGCAUGUACUUCUGCAGAAGAACUUAUCAAGAGGGCACUGCACAUCUUCCUUACUGCAGAUUGGAUGGAAGAUUAUCUGAAAGAUGAGAAAAGGAAGAUCGAGCACCAGACUACAAGUCAUGUGCAAAAGAAGAUGAAAGAAGCCAAGGAAACUGCAAGCCGGCUCAAAGAACAGGCUGGUGCAACAUUGGCCAUGCUGUCCAGUGAUUCAGAGGCUAUCAAGAGUUUCACAGGAUGUAAUGAUGAUGUCAAUAAUCUUACUGAAUUACUCGACACCGACAUCAAGACCAUCAACUGCAAAAUAAGUGCAACAGAUACUGUGAAAAUAGAGAUCAGCAUUGCAUGCCGUAUUAGUGCAGCAGUCAUCUUGAAGCAUUUGAGCAACUAUGUCAAGGAACCAACUUUACGGAAGGUACUCAGACAAUUGCUUCCUGUACAACAAGACGAGCAGAGCCAUAGCAAGCACAGGAGGCUACAAGCACCGCUGUUAUCACUCAUCACAGUGAUUCGUGCAAACUCCAAUCUUAGUCUUAGACCAAUCUUAAUGUCGCAGAGGCCGGCGGAUACCCUGGAAGAGUUAGUGGUGAGGCUCAAAAGGAUGGCGGACAACAUGUACGCCACCCCUGCGUGCCUCGCGAUACAGAAGCUUACUUGCCAGAUGGUUAUAGAUUUCAUGAAGGAUGAUGGAAAUGUCAGAGUGAUCGACCAGCACAAUAUCGUUGGCACAUUACUGAAGGCUUCAGAGAUGAUGGUGGGCCUUGAGAACAGCAUUCUUUUCUCUGGAGUCGAUCCUGACUGCUAUGGGGUUCCUCUAAGGCCUUUCUCUAAAGUUCUCGCUAAAAAUGCCGAAGAUCUUUUGACACAGAGGAAACAAGCACUUGGCAUCAACAAUGUGCCUGCCGGUACACCAGUACCAUGA